CUUCAAAAUUCCCACAGUAGCAGUUUGGAUGUACAAGAGAUGCAAGACUGCAACAUGUGAUGGGAUUCUGCACUAGCCCUCUGUAUUUCAACUGUUCAUACUGCUGUCCAGUGUCUGAACUUCUCUCGUGCUUUGGGAAAAUGCAGUUGUUGAGAGACCAAAUCAUCUGGGACUGCUGUGAAGGAUCACAGAGCCACCCUGAGAACAUGGUACCGCAGCACGAAGUCUUGAGCUGCCAAAACCUUGACACGAAGUGGGGAACAGGGUCUAAUGCUCAGUGACUAAGGUCACCCUCCCUAGCAAAUCUUUACUUGAUAUAUGAUUUCAAUACAAGUCUCAACUGAUUUUCUAAAUAACCAGAAAGCUUCCAUAUCAUACAUGCCACCACAAAAACAGAAAUGGGAAAUGCUGAUUCAUCAGCACAGGAAUUGUUCUAAGUUCAGCUUGAUCUGUUUUUCUGCUGAUUGUUCCUCCAAAAAUAUGGAAGGUAGAACAUUGUUGGCUGAAACACUCUCUGACCCUCUUCAUUUGGAUGGGGGAGCACUGGCUAGGCAAAGAACAACAGAAUAGCUUUUGUAUGUAUUUGAGUCAAAGUCUUUCAUACAUUGUAGGAUCAGCUGUUAGGCCAAAGUAAUUAUACAGACUGCUAUGCUAAAAUGUGUUAAUACUGUGGGGUUUUUUUUUAAUAGAAUCAUUCUACAGGGACCCCUACUGCCUUUUUUUGAUAUAAUGGCCAUAAGUCUUUAAUGUGGAAUUAAGAUUACAAGGUCCCUUCAAAGCAACAGAUUGAACAAAAACAUCUGCCUUUGGCAUUUUCAUCAUGAAAUGAUUUUUAGUAAGUUUUCCCUCAAGCACUAAAUGUAUACUGCUGUAUUGAUCUUUUGGCUCUUGAAAUAAAAGUGUGAUUUUCCUAAAGCUUGCUUGAACUAAAUUAUUAUGAAAGACAAGAAAGGUAAAGCAUUACAUUAUCUCAUUACUCUCACCAUUGACUUUUAGUUAAGAAUAAGAAAAUCUAGUAUAUUCAAAAUGUGCCCAUAAAGGAUCACAGUCCCUUCUCCAUCUAUUGUUUGAUCUUCACAAAAAUGUAUGGGUUUUUUUUAAAGUUUAUUAGUAUAGACUGUAAUUGUUUUAUUUGAAUCAAUAUGCCCAUCAGUAUUUAUAAGUUGCUGCACAGGAAAUCCUAUCUCAUCAAAAUGUAUUAAAACAGUACUAUCAAAAGUGCUUCAAAGGCUUCCUUUUUUAGAGGCUUGAGUUGUCAGGUUUUUUUAAGAAUUGGUGGCAAAUGUGAUGUUCUCUGUAAUGCUUCUCUAAUAUCUCUGGAAGCUUGAAAGAAUCAAUUUUUGUGUAUUGCAGCAUAUUGCUUUGCUUCAAUAAAAGGAGACUUCUCAAUGA